CACGCUGUAAACGAUGCUCACUAAAUGUUGGAGUUGCUUGCAACUUCAGUGUUGAAGCUAACGCGAUAAGUGAGCCGCCUGGGGAGUACGGUCGCAAGGCUAAAACUCAAAGAAAUUGACGGGGGUCCGCACAAGCGGUGGAACAUGUGGUUUAAUUCGACACUACGCGAGAAACCUUACCUAGGCUUGACAUGUAUUUGCUACUGUUGGAAACAAUGGGUUUCAGGGUAACCUGAACGAAUACACAGGUGC
rnacentral:rRNA from 1 species